UAAGAUUUAUAACAGAUGUAGUAUAUAAUUACAUUUAUAGCAUAUCACAUAGUUCAUUUUACAAAAUAAAAAUAAUAAUCUUAAAGAAAGGAGAAUCCCUUGCAAUCAUGUCAUAAAUCCAAUGAUGCUUUUGGAUUUAAUCCAUUCCCUAGAAAGACUUAAGGUAUCCCAAAACAUUGUAUCUGACCUUUUCUUCAAAAUCAACAGAGCAUGAUCUUUAAAAUAUGAAACUGGUUUCCAAACUAGAAGAAAUCAUCAAACUAUUAAUACACUUUUCAAGAGACAUGCAUGCAUAUCAAUGCUUUCACCACCACUAAAAGCAUAAAUCCACGUUCAAUUUUCAUAUCCAAUAUUUCUAUAAACAACCAAUUGUAAGAUAAUUUAGCUAAGAUGAUAAAAUAAAUAUAUUCAACAGGAUCAAUUGGAUUAUGCUGAGGAACAUAACGAAAUAAUAGAACCGAUACAGGCCAAUGGGGAAAUAAUAGAACCGAUACAGGAAUGGGGAGCAAUAGGGACUGUAAUUGAAGCAAAUAACCAAAACAAACAGCUGAUGGAAGCUUUCCCACCUAAUACGACUAAUUGUUCUUGACAAAACCUUGUCACAAUUAUGAGAAAUCUAAAGCCAAUUUGCGAAACUCGUACUGGCUAUUAGUGAUCAUUCAAGUCCACAACAGUGGACCCCAAAAACUAAUCAUUCAGCAAUGAAUUUGUCCUAAGUAUGAGGAACGGGUAACAAGAAUCCAGUUCGCCAUACAAGCCUACGAUAAGACAUAUCUGCAUGGAGAUCACAAAACUAAAAUCAUGCUGGUCCUACAUUUUUUUUCUCUCUCCAGUUAGUAUGAUAAUACAAUUGAUGUUACAAUAUCGGAUACGCAAAAUUUAGAAGAUGUAACAUCAGAUCAUGGAUGGUUAUACUUGCAAAGUCGAUCAAUGAGAAGAAUUCACAGUAGAGACUGCAGGGUAAGUAAAGACGGAUUAGAAGCAUUAGUUCUCUAACAUUAACUUAUCUAUCAAUUAAAUCAAAAGUCGGAUGACUCUGCCUUUUCACCCCAAAUAACAGUUACCAGUCUAUGCAUGAAAGCAUCCCGAUUCUUUGAAUGAAAUUAGUCCCUAGCAGCAGAGAUUACUUUCUGAGGAAUGCAUUUAUUUCAGAUAGAAGGUUGAUAUCCUUACUUUUGACCAAAUGGUCAUGUCACUCAAUUCAACUGAUUUUAUUUUCCUUGUGCUAAAUUUCAUCAAAUGACCAAAAUUCUAAGCCAUAAGGCAUAAAAGCCAAGUUAGUAUGAAGCGAUAUCAAGGACUUUCUCUCUUAACAUAGGUCUGCAAGCAUGGCAAAUUAUUUUCCAAGAGAUUCUUGCUACACCAAGAUCAAAGAUAACAUAAAACUAAUAAUUGCUGCUGCAGCAUCUAUAUAAUCAUUCUAAUCGUUUAUGAUUAACAGCUACACAAUUAUUUAUGAACUAAAAAGUCACAUUUUCGUUUUCCAAAAGAAACCCAUCAAUAAAAUGACCAUCCCAAGGGUGUUUAUCUCUCUGUAAUAAAAAUUAACAAAUAAGCUAUCUUCCCUUUUAAAUUUGAUUUAUACAGUUUUAACAGUUUUCAUUCUAAAGAAAUUCUAACGAGAAAAGUCAUACAAACUCUAUACUUGUUUAACAUAAUUUAUAAAGCAAUUAAGAGUAUUUAAUCAUAUAUAUUAGGAUCUCUUCAAUGUUCAAUACUUUAAAGGAAAGGGCUUUUUCUUUCAUUGAUGCACACAAAUACAACAAUAUAUAUAAGUGAAUACUUAUAAAUGUAGUCAAGAUCUUCACUAAAAGUUUCGCACUUUCAAAAAUGCAUUUUGGUUUUUAAUAUGUAUUUUGAAGUUUACAGUGGAGUUUCAGGUUUAUUAUGUUUCAGGUUUAUUAUCAAUUCAAAUGAUUAAGAUUUCUGCAGCACUAGCCUGCCACUGUUCAAAGUUCUUUGGCAAUAUAUAUUCAAAUUCUCUCAACUCAGGUCUGCGUCAGUAUAAUUGAAAAAAGAUCAUUUACAGUGAUUCACUUUAGCUUUAACAUAGAGAGAUCAAAAGGAAACUACUUACACAUUAUGUUGGCAAGUUGAUAGAAGCAAAACAACUUCAUGAAUUUGCAACUGAUCAUGGUAACAUGCAAUCAACUGAAGUAUUAUUAGAGUUGAGUCUUACAGCAAUUAAUCAGUCAAGGUUGGCAAAUAAAUGAAUAAUACAAAACUUAGAAGAGAAGACGCUCACUUCAUCCAGCAUUCAAUGCCAAUGUGCCUGAUUGCAUGACAGUGUAUUAACCAACCUGAUUAAAAUUUUUCAUCAUGAUAUAAAGCAUUAAAAGCUAAUGACUCCAGUGUACUAGUAACUACACCUCAUAUUCAAGACUGAACCAGAAGAGAAGCAAUAUAGUCCAACUGUCAUUGCUAGUAAUGUCUUCUUGGAAGCUAAUCUUUUGAGACGCAAACACCUAUGGCAGUUGGUGUAUGAGCAGUUUUGAGAGACCAGAUCCAAUCAAGCAAAGAAAGUGAAACCUUACAUCAAAGGAAACAAUUAAAGGCGCUUCCUUUCCAAAUGGACCAACAUCACCCCUUUACAUCUCCUACGAUUUAAAAGAGAAAGGACUUCUUUCCUUCCCUGCCUACCGAGCAUAAUAAGAACACUGCAAGUACAAAGCUGAUAGAAUAUUGGACUUAAAAUUCAGAUAUUACAAAUUCUAAAGAGCGCUCUAUCUUUGCUAUACCAAAACAGCAUCAUAAUUAUUCAAAGUAGUUAGUGAAGUGCAAAGGGAGGACAAGUAUCUAUGUCAUUCAUACUCAUUUAAAGUACACAGGUUUUAAUAUUACAUCCACUUCCAAAGUUCACGCUCCUUCUGAUCUUUUACUUUGAUGGAAACCAAAUAAGUGAAGUGAAAAGUUGGCUAUUGGGAACCCAAAAUAGCAAUAAAGGAUUCAAUGGGAUUCUGUUGCGGGCCCGAGUCUGGGAUCAAGUCAUCAAACGAGUAGCACAAGAAUCAGAUUCGAAUGAAGGGUCUUUGCCCUUAUUUCGAUUCCUAUUUUUGCCUGUGGUUAUUGAACUCUUAAGGCAGUUGCCUACCUUGAAACUCUAAGCGAGUUGCCUACCUUAAACUUACUGAAACUUUCAACUUUCAACUUGUAUUAUUCAUGAAUUAUUUUCCUAUUUAAACAGAGUUUAAAAAUUAGGUAAUAGAUGCCAAGCCCAAAUCUGAUAGCAUACUAGGAAAGUCUUAUUUAAACUAAUAAGGAAAUUCUUAAAAAUAAAAUCAGAAUUAAAUCCCACAAAACUAGAAUCACAUCACAAUGAAAUCAAAAUCAGAUCCCUUCUCCUACUGCUGGUUUCUUGCGUCUGGCAUAGUUCUUGGCCACAAAGGCAUCGGUCACAGAUUCUAUAUUACAUUUCUGUUCAACUCCUUUUGUAACCAGAAAAAUCUAACAUUCCAUAUAGUUCCAAUGAUAAAUUGGUCGUAUAUUUAUAUUUCUGACUUCUGAGAACCUAAUUUGCAAAAUGAUUAGAACUUCAGAUACAAAACUAAUCAACAUAUCAAGGAUGGACAUGUUCUCCUUUGCAAAAUAAAACAUGCGAUAUUGCCUCACACCCACCAAGACACACACACACACACAGAGGGAAGGAAUAAAUGCUGAAUAUGCAAACUAAAAACCGAACUGACAUGUAAUGGCUGGGAUCUGUCACACUUGCAAAUACAGACCAAUAAAUAUGGUUGAAACAAUGACUCAAAAUGGCACUUUUAGAAUAAAUUUGCUGACCGAGAGCUCUAAUAAACACAAAAUCAUAUCUAUCUCAAGCAACAUAAAACGUAAAAACAACUAAGUCCAUUGAUGUUUGGAUCACUCACAAGUUCUAGAUGUUCAAUCCUAGUUUCUAGCUUGGAUGCAAUAACAUGCACUUGAAGCCACUCAAAAACUUCAAGUUCACCUUGUUUCCUUUCCUUAAUCACUUUACAUGUUCUAUCUGUACAUAUUAUAGACUGAGAAAUCUGUAAAAAGAUAGCCUACAUAGUUAGCCUUGCAACGAAACAAGCAUCCUUCACCUAGAAUACCGAGCACCAUGAAGAUUAAUACCUCAAUCGAGGCCAGCCUAGAUGAUAUGUAACAGGUCCCAGUUUGAACCGUCCUUAAUCAACGAAAUUUAAAAGCAUCUAUCAACCAACCUGUUUUAGGUAAUCAUCUAAAAGCACUAUAACAUAAUCAUCCUGCCCAGUAUCGAGAAUGAAAAUAUGCACUGCUUUAUGCUUCCUCCCUCCUUAGAGACUGCAAAAAAAGAGAACAUAUUACAAAAAUCACAUGGGACUAAGUAAAAAGUUAUCCUACAUAAAUGCAGGGGAAACCACAUGCGACUGAGCAAAGUCAUUGAAUAUGUAAAUGCAGGGGAAAAAGUAGCAAGAAAUUUUCCAAUCAAAUAAACCCCUAACAAGCAAUAACAUUUACAUGCUCACUUCAAAAGAACUAGACACUUACCAUCCAGAUAGUUAGGAUCUUGAAUAUUAUGUUCAGCGAAACAUUACCCAGAUAUGUACCGACAUUUGAAACAAGAAUACUCAACUAGCUAUAGUAUUCGAGGUUUCAGCAUAAAAUACACAAGCAUAACAUGCAAAGAAACUCAACAAUAACGGCAGUAUCAACAUUUAAUUCAAAAAGGUUGAGGAACCAAACCUGGAGCUAUUCAAUUGAGACUACAAAGAAAGGUUGAAUUGCGACCUUGAAACAGAACCAAAUCAAAUGAAAGGAUUUUAGUUUUAUAGCUUUAAACAAAGUUUAUAUAAAAAGCAUUUAAACAACCAAAGAGGCUUGUUAUUCAACGCAAAUUUAAGAAGCAGAGAGGUAACCAUAUCAGCAAAUUUUGUAGUAAUUGUUUGAAGCGUCAGGGUUUUUUCUUUUAUUGCACCGAGAGAAAAUGAACGAUCAGCAUCGCCAUUCUUGGCCUCGAACUUUUCUUCUGCUGGUUCCCUAAUGCUUUCUGUUUUUAAGUUUCACCCGUACACGUGUAAAGGAGGUAAGUUCAUUAAUCAAAAU
rnacentral:lncRNA from 1 species